AUUUAUGUGAAAACGGAAUCGGCAAACGGGUGUGUAUAUCAUUUCGGCGAGAUGGUAUAAAAUGCGACCGAAUUAGAUCAACUGGCAUAGUUUACUUUGAAAGCAAACGAAACCAUCCAAAAUGUUCAAAUUCGUGUUAUUGUUCGUCGCUCUCUUCGCCCUCAGCAUGGCUGAACCCGAACCAGAAGCGAAACCCCAGUACUAUGGUGCCUAUCCCUACUCCUUGGGAUACAGCGCGUACAGCGGUUAUGCUGGUUAUCCUUAUCGUGGAGCUUACUCUGCCUACCCUUACGGAAGAUACUUCUACUAAGCUUGAAAAGUAAAUUUCAAAAAUGUUUGGCAUGUUUUGUAUAAAAUUUCUGUUUCUUAUGCAAUAAUAAAUAUUUCCCUUUUUACAAUUCACAA